rnacentral:rRNA from 1 species
CGAAAACUUUACAAUGCGGCAUACCGUGAUAGGGGAACUCCGAGUGCCCGUAAAAUCGGGCUGUCCAUCUGUUUAAAUAACAGGUGAAGAAAGGGCCGGGCAAGACCGGUGCCAGCCGCCGCGGUAAUACCGGCGGCUCGAGUGGUGGCCACUAUUACUGGGCUUAAAGCGUUCGUAGCUGGUCUGUUAAGUCUCUGGGGAAAUCUACUGGCUUAACCAAUAGGCGUUUCAGGGAUACUGGCAGACUAGGGACCGGGAGAGGUGAGGGGUACUCCAGGGGUAGGAGUGAAAUCCUGUAAUCCUUGGGGGACCACCUGUGGCGAAGGCGCCUCACCAGAACGGCUCCGACAGUGAGGGACGAAAGCUGGGGGAGCAAACCGGAUUAGAUACCCGGGUAGUCCCAGCCGUAAACGAUGCGCGUUAGGUGUAUCGGUGACCACGAGUCACCGAGGUGCCGAAGAGAAAUCGUGAAACGUGCCGCCUGGGAAGUACGGUCGCAAGGCUGAAACUUAAAGGAAUUGGCGGGGGAGCAC